UUGACCUCGGAUCAGGUAGGAAUACCCGCUGAACUUAAGCAUAUCAAUAAGCGGAGGAAAAGAAACCAACAGGGAUUGCCUC
rnacentral:rRNA from 1 species